CCCGGAUAUAAAACGGGAAAAUUCCCAAGCUUCCCUCAUUUUAGUUGCAAAUACUGAGUUGAAUUGAGUUCUCCAGAAGCUGCUUACAGAUUUUCCUUUGGCGUAUUUUUCCGCAGGUCAGAUCGGAAUGUUCACAAAGCACUUCUCCCUUUUCUGCCUCUUAGUAGUAGUAUCAAUGCUGGCUUUCAGUGACACUUCUGAAGCCAGAUACCUCUCAACCAGAGGCUCCGCUGAUAGGAUCGACAAACUCAAAGAGCUCCUCAAAGAAUUGUUGGAGACUGAAAUUGAGAAGGAAGACCAAGGAGAUGCUCCCCCUAGAUGGCACCCUGAGAGCAAGCUUUUCUACAAACGGGAAGUUGCAGAAACCAAACACUAAUAAAGAUAACGACCCCUGCAAUACGAGGACUACGAUUAAGACAAAAUAACAAUAAUUUUUUACAUGGAUAAGAUCAGCUAAAACAAAAAUUAGAUAUAGAAGAGAAAUAAAAGAUAUACAAUAUUAUAAUAACGAAAGCAAUAAGAAAACAAUAAAAAAAUAAGUGUUUAAAUUAACGAAAAUUUGUUUUAGCUGAACGUAAAUGUUCACUGUGUAUAUUCGUAAUUGAUAAUUAUGAAUGUUGAAGUGUUGAAGAUAUGGAGAACUUGUAUCUCUUAUCUUCUACGAUAGAGUUCAUGCAAUUAUUUUUGUGAUAUUAGUGUAUUAGAAACGAGACAAUAUAAGAAAAUUUUGUUGUAUUGAAUAUAUUAUACAGGAGUGCAGAAAUUGAGAUUCUUUUGAAAUUCGGUAAAUAUAUGAAAAACUUAAUAAAAUAUCCUGUAUAUAUAUUUUGUAUCAAGUUGAUGUGGAAUUCUAUUUCUGCUUUAAAAACAGAACCCUCUUAAGUUGAACGGAAGAUCUGACACUUUGCACCGAAGACAUAUCAGAUCGUACAUAUAUUCCAUACAUAAAUCUAACCAUUAGUUUUCGUCUGGUAUGUUUCCGACCCAAAGUUUCCGUUCAUAUUCAAGAAACAAGAGGCAGAAGUGGAACAUAAAUUAACAAAUUAUUGUUUACCUACAGCUUACAAGUUGAUCUCUGAGAAAAAUGUUGAAGAACUAUGUCGACCUAUUCUUUGUCUUCUGAUGGCAAUGUAAUAAGAGAAAAUUUAUUGUAAUUUAAAUAUGAAGUAAAUGUUAUUAAGUAAUGCAUAAUGAGUGCAAUUACGAUUUUCAACAGAUCGAAAUGAAGUUCUUUGAUGUUCCACCGGAAUAUGUUGUUCAGAGGUCAACUUUCAUUUCAUGGAUGUGAAAUAUCUCAAUGUGUCUUAUCGACUUAUAAGUGUUAAUUGAAAAUGUGCAGUGAUCAAAAACAUGACGAUGAAAUUA